rnacentral:sRNA from 1 species
AGCGGAGGAAAAGAAACCAACAGGGAUUGCCUUAGUAACGGCGAGUGAAGCGGCAACAGCUCAAAUUUGAAAGCUGGCCCUUUUAGGGUCCGCGUUGUAAUUUGUAGAGGAUGAUUCGGCGAGGGCUCCUGCCUAAGUCCCCUGGAACGGGGCGUCAUAGAGGGUGAGAAUCCCGUAUGCGGUAGGUUGCCUUAGCCAUGUGAAUCUCCUUCGACGAGUCGAGUUGUUUGGGAAUGCAGCUCUAAAUGGGAGGUAAAUUUCUUCUAAAGCUAAAUACCGGCCAGAGACCGAUAGCGCACAAGUAGAGUGAUCGAAAGAUGAAAAGCACUUUGGAAAGAGAGUUAAAAAGUACGUGAAAUUGUUGAAAGGGAAGCGCUUGCAACCAGACUUGUCCGCAGUUGCUCAGCCGGUCUCCUGACCGGCGUACUCUUCUGCGGCCAGGCCAGCAUCAGUUCGGGCGGUCGGAUAAAGGCCUCGGGAAUGUGGCUCCUCUCGGGGAGUGUUAUAGCCCGGGGUGCAAUGCGGCCAGCCUGGACUGAGGAACUCGCUUCGGCAAGGAUGCUGGCGUAAUGGUUGUAAGCGGCCCGUCUUGAA